UGGGGUAUAUUGGACAAUGGGCGCAAGCCUGAUCCAGCCAUGCCGCGUGGGUGAAGAAGGCCUUCGGGUUGUAAAGCCCUUUUGUUGGGAAAGAAAUCCUGUCGGCUAAUACCCGGCGGGGAUGACGGUACCCAAAGAAUAAGCACCGGCUAACUUCGUGCCAGCAGCCGCGGUAAUACGUAGGGUGCGAGCGUUAAUCGGAAUUACUGGGCGUAAAGCGUGCGCAGGCGGUUUUGUAAGACGGAUGUGAAAUCCCCGGGCUUAACCUGGGAACUGCGUUUGUGACUGCAAGGCUGGAGUACGGCAGAGGGGGGUGGAAUUCCACGUGUAGCAGUGAAAUGCGUAGAGAUGUGGAGGAACACCGAUGGCGAAGGCAGCCCCCUGGGCCUGUACUGACGCUCAUGCACGAAGGCGUGGGGAGCAAACA
rnacentral:rRNA from 1 species